rnacentral:rRNA from 1 species
ACGGAGGAUGCAAGCGUUAUCCGGAAUGAUUGGGCGUAAAGCGUCCGCAGGUGGCGAUGUAAGUCUGCUGUUAAAGAGUGAGGCUCAACCUCAUAAAAGCAGUGGAAACUACAUAGCUAGAGUGCGGUAGGGGCAGAGGGAAUUCCUGGUGUAGCGGUGAAAUGCGUAGAGAUCGGGAGGAACACCAGUGGCGAAGGCGACUGUCUGGGGAGCAACUGACGCUGAGGCGCGAAAGCUGGGGGAGCAAACGGGA